rnacentral:lncRNA from 1 species
UUGCAAGCUGUUCUGUUAAGACCCAGGCUGCCUGCUAUCUCCUGUCUUUGUUCCUCACCUCAUUUUGAAGGAUUGUUACACAUUUCAGUGACCUCACAGCUUGCUGAUCAUGAAUCAAGAAUUAACCCUGAAGAAAAUGUAUGGGGAGAAUGUGGCCUCAAACUGAUUCAGAGAAGAGUUAAAAAGAGGAAAUGGACAGCAAACACUCUUCCAGAUUGAAGAAAAAGCAUCCAGGGACUUCCUUUUACAAACCAGAUGGCAGCCUCCAGCUGGCUGCCUUAGAGAUAUUGAAAUUGGAAGACCCAAUAUCUGAGCAGACACGCCCACUUAUAGGAUUUGGUCUGGAACUCAUAAAAGAUCAUUUACAACAGAGGAAGAACAAAAUGUUUCUGCCCAGAGAACUAUGCAAGAAAUUAUGAAGCACACAGGUGAAUAAGCAGGUG